UACGUAGGGCGCAAGCGUUAUCCGGAAUUAUUGGGCGUAAAGAGCUCGUAGGCGGUUUGUCGCGUCUGCCGUGAAAGUCCGGGGCUCAACUCCGGAUCUGCGGUGGGUACGGGCAGACUAGAGUGAUGUAGGGGAGACUGGAAUUCCUGGUGUAGCGGUGAAAUGCGCAGAUAUCAGGAGGAACACCGGUGGCGAAGGCGGGUCUCAGGGCAGUAACUGACGCUGAGGAGCGAAAGCGUGGGGAGCGAACAGG
rnacentral:rRNA from 1 species